rnacentral:rRNA from 1 species
CACGUAGGGCGCGAGCGUUGUCCGGAAUUAUUGGGCGUAAAGGGCUCGUAGGUGGCCAACUAAGUCAGACGUGAAAUCCCUCGGCUUAACCGGGGAACUGCGUCUGAUACUGGAUGGCUUGAGUUUGGGAGAGGGAUGCGGAAUUCCAGGUGUAGCGGUGAAAUGCGUAGAUAUCUGGAGGAACACCGGUGGCGAAGGCGGCAUCCUGGACCAACACUGACACUGAGGAGCGAAAGCCAGGGGAGCAAACGGG